GCACAUUUCAUGUUACAGUAUCAAACUGCUUGUCAUUUUAGUUUAAAAUUUGAAUAUGGAAUUAUAUCCAGUCACUAUGGACAUUCUCCACUAGCACAGUUGUACUGGGAGCAGGGUAUGCGCAAUGGCAUAUUUACUCUGUGGAAAGCAAUGACAACCAAUUGUGGAAAACUUCUGGCAAAUCCAUAGCUAUUUCGGUCACAAGUGGAUUUGCCCCCAGUGCUAUCCAGCUCUGCACCAGUGGGCACUGGGUCCCUCCUUGCAAUAUUCUUGGAUUCUGGACACUGUUCACUAUUAUACUUGGCUUAAUUUUUUACACUGUUCACUAUUAUACUUGGCUUAAUUCCAGUCACCUAACCGUAUGUGCAUUUACCACUCAGUAUACCUGGAUGAUGUUACAUCAUUCAGUUAAUUCUAAACUUCUCUAACUAGACUACUUGGUUACCUUCAUUAUUAUUUCCUGAAUAUAUUUAAAGGAGUCCAUGGCUUCCGUGUUGCAUUCUUGCCUUAUUUUUAUUCAUCUAGCUUUCUUUCAAUGUUGCAGGUUUAUUUUACUGCAAUGCAGGGAGAAGCAAUCUGAGGAGUAAACUGUGUAGUGCGACAAAUUUUCUGCUUUUUAAAUAUUUCAAUUGAUUUUCAGUUAAUAACUUUUGACCUUCUGAACCAAAGAGUCUGUUACAUGGUAGAUGCAUCAAAGACUGGGGCAAUAAGACAACAGGCUGGAAACCUGCUUUUGUUCCAUGCUUUCGGGUCCCACUUUGCUAUGGUGCAGUAUUCCAGAUGUGUGGAUCCCCCGCCUUUUCCUUUCCUAAGAAGAAAUAAGAAAGUCUCUAAACAAAUUUCUAGGUGAUAUGAUCAACUUUCCCCCGAAACUGACCACAAAGUUAAGCUGGAGGACCUACAGAUUCCUAGAAAGAUCUCUAGGUACAUCCAGUACAAUUCCAUGAUCGGAUUUCAGCUGAACGUGACUAUAGAAUCUUGCAGGAGGGCCCAGAAAUUUCUAAAGGUAAAAUAAUACAAUUUUUAAAUUUCUUUUUUUUCAGUUUAAUGGAAUUUUGUGCCACUAACCCCAGUGAAUGUGGAGGAAUGAUCAUACAGGAUUUAAGAGAAGUGCACAUACACAUGUAGCAAAGAAACGUAUUCAUUUAUUUAUUUAUUUUGCAUUAUCACAAGCUGCCUAAUAAAUUCAUCCAAGGGGUGUUGUGUAGUUUCCGGGCUACAUGGCCAUAUUCUAGCAGCAUUUUCUUCCAACAUUUCACCUGCAUCUGUGGCUGACAUCUUCAGAGAAUCAUCUGAAGUGAUUCCGGCUGUGAAAGCCUUCAACAAUACAAAUUCAUCUAAGUUUGCAAGCAGCAAUAGCCCCACUGAAGGUAUGCAAUAAGAAUUUGCUGGUUUAUAAUAAAUUAUGAACAUUUUAGUAAACUUACAAUUAGAUGAAUGAAAGGACAAAAUCUUAGUGAAUUCCACUCCUUUGCCCAUCAUGUAACAUUUCACAAAAAUAAAUUAUUGUAAAUAGUCAGCUUCACAUACCCUGUUCAAGGCAGUUACUGACAAGUUCAGGGGUAUAGCUGAGGUUUUCUGAAUGUCUCAUUUGUAAUAACCAGCCUGGUAAGCCUUGCUCCAUAAUAAUCUAUGAUGUAACUAGAGCCAUCUGAAGGUCCCACAAUCUAGAAGAGAAAGUAUGGACAUAUAUAUGUUUUAAUCAUGCAAUGCUCCAAGAAUUCCUGGACAAAACACAAAUACCAGUUAUUAAAGUGACAAAAUAAUAUUUCAAAACUAAGCAUUUUGGAAUGAGUCACAGAUAAAAAUUUCAUACUUUGAUUUUAUUUGGACUCAUUUGAUAAUCCCACCAAGUUGUCUUUAAGAUUCAUUUGAUAAUCCCACCAAAUAGAAUCAUCGAAUCAUAGAGUUGGAAGAGACCUCACAGGCCAUUGAGUCCAACCCCCUGCCAAUAAACAGGAAAAUCACAUUCAAAGAACCCCCGACAGAUGGCCAUCCAGCUUCUGCUUAAAAGCCUCCAAAGAAGGAGCCUCCACCACACUCUAGGGUAGAGCUCCACUGCUUAACAGAUCUCACAUUUAGGAAGUUCUUCCUAAUGUUCAGGUGGAAUCUCCUUUCAUGUUGUUUGAAGCCACUGUUCCGCAUCCUAGUCUCUAGGGCAGCAGAAAACACGCUUGUACCCUAUGAGUUCCCCUCACAUAUUUAUACAUGGCUAUCAUGGCUCCUCUCAGCUUUCUCUUCUGCAGGGUAAACAUGUCCAGCUCAUUAAGCCACUCCUCAUAGGGCUUGUUCUCCAGACCCUUGACCAUUUUAGUCGCCCUCCUCUGGACACAUUCCAGCUUGUCAAUAUCUCCCUUCAAUCGCGGUGCCCAGAAUUGGACACAGUAUUCCAGGUGUGGUCUGACCAAGGCAGAAUAGAGGCGUAGCAUGAAUUCCCUGGAUCUAGAUACUAUAUUCCUGUUUAUGCAAGCCAAAAUCCCAUUGGCUUUUUUUGCUGCUGCAUCACAUUGUAGGCUCAUGUUUAACUUUUUGUCCAUGAGGACUCCAAGAUCUUUUUCAUAAGUACUGCUGUCGAUUUGCAUUCCAUUUUUUCUGCCUAAGUGGAGUAUUUUGCAUUUGUCCCUGUUGAACUUCAUUUUGUUAGUUUCGGCCCAUCUCUCUAAUCUGUUAAGAUCGUUUUAAAUUCUGCUUCUGUCUUCUGGAGUAUUAGCUAUCCCUCUCAAUUUGGUGUUGUCUGCAAACUUGAUUAUCAUGCCUUCUAACUUUUCAUCUAAGUCAUUAAUAAAGAUGUUAAACAGACCCGGGCCCAGGACGGAACCCUGCAGCACUCCACUCGUCACUUCUUUCCAGGAUGAAAAGGAAGCACUGGUGAGCACCCUUUGGGUUCAUUCACUUAACCAAUUACAGUUCCACCUAACCGUAGUUUUGCCUAGCCCACAUUUAACUAGUUUGUUUGCCAAAAGAUCAUGGGGGACUUUGUCAAAGGGUUUACUAAAAUCCAGAUACGAUACAUCCACGGUGUUCCUUGCAUCGACCCAGAUUACCACAAGAGAAUUGUCAGUAUUGUUUGUCAAUGAAAAGUAUACAAAUAUAUACAAAUAUUUGCAACAACUAAGGAAGCAAUCUUGCAUUGUCCUAAGGAAAGAGAAAUUAUAUUAACCAUGUAGAUUUACAGAUAUAUACUUUUACAACACACACUAUAUUCUACGGAAAUAAAAUUCCAAGAACAUUUUGGUAUAAGAAAUUCAAUGGUACUCCUGAUCGGCUUUAUUCAACCUUAUACUAGUGGAAAAAGUAUAGUUGGUGUUAAUGUUGCUUACAUAACCAAUAGAGGCACUACUAACAAUUUGAACAAGCCAACACUUAACCUAAUAAAGUUGUGAUGAGUUGUGCAACAGUUGUGAUAAAAAGA